UCAAUUCCUGUAUCUGUGCUAAACUAACC
rnacentral:piRNA from 1 species